UACGUAGGGGGCUAGCGUUGCUCGGAAUCACUGGGCGUAAAGGGUGCGUAGGCGGGUCUUUAAGUCAGGGGUGAAAUCCUGGAGCUCAACUCCAGAACUGCCUUUGAUACUGGCGAUCUCGAGUCCGGGAGAGGUGAGUGGAACUGCGAGUGUAGAGGUGAAAUUCGUAGAUAUUCGCAAGAACACCAGUGGCGAAGGCGGCGAUCUGGGAAGAUACUGACGCUGAGGUGCGAAAGCGUGGGGAGCAAACAGG
rnacentral:rRNA from 1 species